rnacentral:lncRNA from 1 species
CACAUUUCAGCCCAUGUGCUAUUUGCACUGCUCUGUCAAUGAUUUCUAAUAGCAAGUUCCAGUUAUGUGAGAGCAACUCAAAGUAAAUGCUGAAUAAAAAUUUAAGUUGAUAGAAUUCACACUGGGGAUAAAAAUCUGACAAAUAACCUCCAGUGAUUCAACAUCCUCCUCAAGAGAAAUAAAAAUGUGCAACAACACAGGAAAUCAUAUACUACAGCACUCAUGUUUUACCUUUAUUCCCUGAUCCAGGUAGCUUGGGACAUAAUUCAUGUCCUCUUGGAUGUGAGGAUCGUGAUGCAAGUUGAUGAAUGGAGAGGAAGGCUGGGUGAGAGAAGCAGCGUGGAUUUCCUGGCUAGUUGCAGGUGGUGUAGAGCUCGCUGUCGCACAUUUCACAUACAUCCUCCUCAAACCUUGCAAUUCACUGUAAAAGAAGCAGGAAAUUCACCCAGGCUCUGCAGGUGUGGUGCAAAUACAGGGUUAACAGAGGCAUCUUCAUGGCUGUUGUGCUGUGCAGAGUGUCGUUUGGGAGAACAGGUUGGCCCUCCAGCUCAUCAAGUGAGGCCAAAUCCUGGAAUUGAAAUAAAGACCAUGAAUUGA